GCUUAGGGCCAUACCACCCUGAAUGCGCCAGAUCUCGUCUGAUCUCGGAAGCUAAGCAGGGUCAGCCCUGGUUAGUACUUGGAUGGGUGACCGCCUGGGAAUACCAGGUGCUGUAAGCU
rnacentral:rRNA from 1 species